CUUUUAUAUAUCAGUGACAUGAUUGAGAUCGAGUGAUUUCAGUUUGUCCAUUACCGCCUUAUAUUAAUAAUAGACUUUCAUUUUCAUAGUUAAAAAGUCAAAUCAUGAAACAAUAAAGGCAUAGAAAUGUGUAUCUAAAAACUGAAGUGUGAUGCUACUGUUCUUGGAGAAUUACUAAACGUUAAUUUAUGGUGUAAAAUUGUGUUUUCAGAGCCUUCAAGCACUGUCACAACUUCAUCUUGACCUGUGACCUCUGAGAUGACCUCUGACCUCUGCCAAUCCAGAUUUCGUCAUAAUGCCUCUGUCACUCAUAUGCAGCUCAAUUUUCAUAAUUAACAGAUUCAGACAAAUGAAGGAUGCACAGAGAGGAAACGGCUUUGAAUGUGUGUGUCCCUCCCCUGUGACUGAAGCUCAAUAUCAGAGCGUCUGUCCGACUGUAAAUCCCACAUCUCUGUCCUUCAGCUUCACUCAUUCCCAGUAAAGAUGACGAUACACACACUGAUCUUCUGCUCUCUGCUGCUGCUCCUCAACGAGUGUAGAGGACAGAUCACCGUCACUCAGAGUCCCUCAAUAACAGCAGAACAACCAGGAGGAACUGUGAAUAUCAACUGUAAAACCAGCACAGAUGUGUACAGGAGUGGUUCUGUUGAUUUCUUAGCCUGGUACUUACAGAAACCUGGAGAAGCUCCUAAACUCCUGAUUUAUUACACAAACCACCUCCAGUCAGGAACUCCAUCUAGAUUCAGUGGCAGUGGAUCUAACAGUGAUUUCACUCUGAGCAUCAGUGGAGUCCAGACUGAAGAUGCUGGACAUUAUUACUGUCAGAGUUUACAUGUCAUCAACAGUAAUUAUGUGUUCACACAGUGAUAAAGAGUCGUACAAAAACCUCCGUCAGUCAG